rnacentral:rRNA from 1 species
ACGAACGCUGGCGGCGUGGAUUAGGCAUGCAAGUUGAGCGACGGAUAGCCUUCGGGCUAUUACGGAGCAGCGAACGGGUGAGUAACACGUGAACAAUCUGUCCCUACAUUCCGGAUAAUUGGCCGAAAGGCCUUGUAAUACGGGGGAGGAUCGCGAUGAGGCAUCUCACUGCGAAGGAAGGCGCAAGCCGUGCAGGGAGGAGUUCGCGGCCUAUCAGGUAGUUUGGUGGGGGUAACGGCCUACCAAGCCGACGACGGGUAGCUGGUCUGAGAGGAUGGUCAGCACACAUUGGAACUGAGACACUGUCCAGACUCCUACGGGAGGCUGCAGUCGAGAAUCUUGGGCAAUGCACGAAAGUGUGACCCAGCGACGCCGCGUGGAGGAUGAAGGUCCUUGGAUUGUAAACUCCUUUUAUUGGGGAAGAAUGCCGCAAGGCUUGACGGUACCCAAUGAAUAAGCCACGGCUAACUACGUGCCAGCAGCCGCUGGUAAUACGUAGGUGGCAAGCGUUGUCCGGAUUUACUGGGCGUAAAGGGUAUGUAGGCGGAACGUUAAGUAGAAAGUGAAAGGUUGGGGCUCAACUCCAACACUGCUCUCUAUACUGGCGAUCUUGAGUGCCGGAGAGGAAGAUGGAACUGCACGUGUAGCUGGUGAUAUGCGUUGAGAUGUGCAGGAAACACCAAUGGCGAAAGCAAUCUUCUGGACGGAUACUGACGCUGAUAUACGAAAGCCAAGGGAUGCGAACAGGAUUAGAUACCCUGGUAGUCUUGACCAUAAACGAUGUUUCACUAGGUGUUGGGGGUUUCCCUCGGUUGCCGCAGCUAACGCAUUAAGUGAACCGCCUGGGGACUACGGCAUCGCAAGGUUGAGACUCAAAGGAAUUGGACGGGGGGCCCGCACAAGCGGUGGAGCAUUAUGGCUUAAUUCGACUGCAACGCGCAGAACCUUACCAGGCCCUUGACAUGCUACUGUCAAGCUGACUCCGAAAGACAGAGUUCUUCAGUUCGAAGGCUGUAGCACAGGUGGCUAUGCAUGGCUUGUCGUCAGCUCGUGUCUGUGAGAAAUGUUGGGUUAAGUCCCGCAACGAGCGCAACACUCAUAAUUCCUUGUUGCCAGCGAGUAAUGCCCUAGGGAACCUCUCAGAUAUAAACUGCCAUCUGAUAAAGUUGGAGGAAGGUGGGGAUGAUGACUGUCAAGUCAUCAUGGCCCAUUUAUGUCCCUAGGGCUACACACGUGCUACAAUGGACUGGUACAAAGCGCUGCAAACCCGCUGAGGGGGAGCCAAUCGCAAAAAAACCGUUCUCAGUAUCGGAUCGCAGGCUGCAACUCAGCCUGCGUGAUGAAGCUGGAAUCGCUAGUAAUGGCGUAUCAGAACGAUGCCGUGAAUACGUUCCCUGGGCCUUGUACACACCGCCCGUCACAUCACGAAAGUGGAUUGUACUAAGAAGUCCUAAUCAAACAGGCCCAAGGUGUGAUUCAUGAUUGGGGUGAAGUCGUAACAAGGU